rnacentral:rRNA from 1 species
UACGAAGGGGGCUAGCGUUGUUCGGAUUUACUGGGCGUAAAGCGCACGUAGGCGGAUCUUUAAGUCAGAGGUGAAAUCCCAAGGCUCAACCUUGGAACUGCCUUUGAUACUGGGGAUCUUGAGUCCGGGAGAGGUGAGUGGAACUGCGAGUGUAGAGGUGAAAUUCGUAGAUAUUCGCAAGAACACCAGUGGCGAAGGCGGCUCACUGGCUCGGUACUGACGCUGAGGUGCGAAAGCGUGGGGAGCAAACAGG